AGCGUACACGGUGGAUGCCCUGGCAGUCAGAGGCGAUGAAGGACGUGCUAAUCUGCGAAAAGCGUCGGUAAGGUGAUAUGAACCGUUAUAACCGGCGAUGUCCGAAUGGGGAAACCCAGUGUGAUUCGUCACACUAUCGUUAACUGAAUACAUAGGUUAACGAGGCGAACCGGGGGAACUGAAACAUCUAAGUACCCCGAGGAAAAGAAAUCAACCGAGAUUCCCCCAGUAGCGGCGAGCGAACGGGGAGCAGCCCAGAGUCUGAAUCAGCUUGUGUGUUAGUGGAACGGUCUGGAAAGUCCGACGGUACAGGGUGAUAGUCCCGUACACCAAAAUGCACAGGUUGUGAACUCGAAGAGUAGGGCGGGACACGUGGUAUCCUGUCUGAAUAUGGGGGGACCAUCCUCCAAGGCUAAAUACUCCUGACUGACCGAUAGUGAACCAGUACCGUGAGGGAAAGGCGAAAAGAACCCCGGCGAGGGGAGUGAAAAAGAACCUGAAACCGUGUACGUACAAGCAGUGGGAGCACCUUUAUGGUGUGACUGCGUACCUUUUGUAUAAUGGGUCAGCGACUUAUAUUCUGUAGCAAGGUUAACCGUAUAGGGGAGCCGCAGGGAAACCGAGUCUUAACUGGGCGUUAAGUUGCAGGGUAUAGACCCGAAACCCGGUGAUCUAGCCAUGGGCAGGUUGAAGGUUGGGUAACACUAACUGGAGGACCGAACCGACUAAUGUUGAAAAAUUAGCGGAUGACUUGUGGCUGGGGGUGAAAGGCCAAUCAAACCGGGAGAUAGCUGGUUCUCCCCGAAAGCUAUUUAGGUAGCGCCUCGUGAACUCAUCUUCGGGGGUAGAGCACUGUUUCGGCUAGGGGGUCAUCCCGACUUACCAACCCGAUGCAAACUACGAAUACCGAAGAAUGUUAUCACGGGAGACACACGGCGGGUGCUAACGUCCGUCGUGAAGAGGGAAACAACCCAGACCGCCAGCUAAGGUCCCAAAGUCAUGGUUAAGUGGGAAACGAUGUGGGAAGGCACAGACAGCCAGGAUGUUGGCUUAGAAGCAGCCAUCAUUUAAAGAAAGCGUAAUAGCUCACUGGUCGAGUCGGCCUGCGCGGAAGAUGUAACGGGGCUAAACCAUGCACCGAAGCUGCGGCAGCGACACUAUGUGUUGUUGGGUAGGGGAGCGUUCUGUAAGCCUGCGAAGGUGACCUGUGAGGGUUGCUGGAGGUAUCAGAAGUGCGAAUGCUGACAUAAGUAACGAUAAAGCGGGUGAAAAGCCCGCUCGCCGGAAGACCAAGGGUUCCUGUCCAACGUUAAUCGGGGCAGGGUGAGUCGACCCCUAAGGCGAGGCCGAAAGGCGUAGUCGAUGGGAAACAGGUUAAUAUUCCUGUACUUGGUGUUACUGCGAAGGGGGGACGGAGAAGGCUAUGUUAGCCGGGCGACGGUUGUCCCGGUUUAAGCAUGUAGGCUGGUUAUCCAGGCAAAUCCGGAUAAUCAAGGCUGAGGUGUGAUGACGAGGCACUACGGUGCUGAAGUAACAAAUGCCCUGCUUCCAGGAAAAGCCUCUAAGCAUCAGGUAACAUCAAAUCGUACCCCAAACCGACACAGGUGGUCAGGUAGAGAAUACCAAGGCGCUUGAGAGAACUCGGGUGAAGGAACUAGGCAAAAUGGUGCCGUAACUUCGGGAGAAGGCACGCUGGUGUGUAGGUGAAGUCCCUGCGGAUGGAGCUGAGACCAGUCGAAGAUACCAGCUGGCUGCAACUGUUUAUUAAAAACACAGCACUGUGCAAACACGAAAGUGGACGUAUACGGUGUGACGCCUGCCCGGUGCCGGAAGGUUAAUUGAUGGGGUUAUCCGUAAGGAGAAGCUCUUGAUCGAAGCCCCGGUAAACGGCGGCCGUAACUAUAACGGUCCUAAGGUAGCGAAAUUCCUUGUCGGGUAAGUUCCGACCUGCACGAAUGGCGUAAUGAUGGCCAGGCUGUCUCCACCCGAGACUCAGUGAAAUUGAACUCGCUGUGAAGAUGCAGUGUACCCGCGGCAAGACGGAAAGACCCCGUGAACCUUUACUAUAGCUUGACACUGAACAUUGAGCCUUGAUGUGUAGGAUAGGUGGGAGGCUUUGAAGCGUGGACGCCAGUCUGCGUGGAGCCAACCUUGAAAUACCACCCUUUAAUGUUUGAUGUUCUAACGUUGGCCCCUUAUCGGGGUUGCGGACAGUGUCUGGUGGGUAGUUUGACUGGGGCGGUCUCCUCCCAAAGCGUAACGGAGGAGCACGAAGGUUAGCUAAUCCUGGUCGGACAUCAGGAGGUUAGUGCAAUGGCAUAAGCUAGCUUGACUGCGAGCGUGACGGCGCGAGCAGGUGCGAAAGCAGGUCAUAGUGAUCCGGUGGUUCUGAAUGGAAGGGCCAUCGCUCAACGGAUAAAAGGUACUCCGGGGAUAACAGGCUGAUACCGCCCAAGAGUUCAUAUCGACGGCGGUGUUUGGCACCUCGAUGUCGGCUCAUCACAUCCUGGGGCUGAAGUAGGUCCCAAGGGUAUGGCUGUUCGCCAUUUAAAGUGGUACGCGAGCUGGGUUUAGAACGUCGUGAGACAGUUCGGUCCCUAUCUGCCGUGGGCGCUGGAGAAUUGAGGGGGGCUGCUCCUAGUACGAGAGGACCGGAGUGGACGCAUCACUGGUGUUCGGGUUGUCAUGCCAAUGGCACUGCCCGGUAGCUAAAUGCGGAAGAGAUAAGUGCUGAAAGCAUCUAAGCACGAAACUUGCCCCGAGAUGAGUUCU
rnacentral:rRNA from 1 species